CAAAAGCUCAGCCCAGUACAAUCCAAAGGGACAUGUGCUUGAGUUAUUCAUUACUUGACUUAGCUGAGGUCACAGAGCAGGAAGCACAUUUGGAAGCAAGGGAAAAGGUGCCAUUGAAGAGGGGCUGCUUUAUGUGGCAAGACGGUGAAAUGCACCAGAGAGCUGGUGGGCAGGUGGAGCCUGAGUGGCCCUUCAGCCUGACCCCUGCAGAACUGGAGAACUCUCUUGAGAAAUCUACCACAGGAAGAUAGUGAAAGGGCAAGAAAGCAAGUUUGUCUCACACCACAGUGGCAUAACUAGCAGUUGACACAAGCUGGCAGGUAAGGUAGGGCACUUCUCCUUUUAAAAGAAUGAAGGAAGUUCUGAUUUUAAAACUGCCAAUAUGAACCUGAGCUGCACAUACACGUAUUAACACAUGCUUCCGAGGGAUUGAGGUACACAGGCUGUGAGGAUGGGCGCCACAACAGCCCUAACAGCCUUACUUUUCUUUCUUCCUCAGAUUUGCAAUCCUCCUGCCUGUCUCCAGACUGGGAUCACAGGUAAAAACCAUCAGACUCCUGCCAAACCUCAUCCCUCUUGAGGCUUACCUUACACCCUUAUUCCUGAUGGUUUUUGGUGAUUCUGACCAUAGGGUUUUUUUCUCCCUCUUACAGUAGGGAGCACUUUAAAUAUAUCUAUGAUCUAUAGAAUUUCUAUGUAUCUAUAUAUCUCCAGUGGCCUGGACUGCUGGAAACGCCUCCAUGAUGUUUAAGUUCUACCUGGAAACAGGGGCACAGAAUCUACAGGUGGAGCUUGCCAAGCACCAACUUGGGGCUUUUCCAAAAUAAACACCGCAGGGGCAAAGCA
rnacentral:lncRNA from 1 species